CGGACGGGUGAGUAACGCGUGAGGAACCUGCCUUGAAGAGGGGGACAACAGUUGGAAACGACUGCUAAUACCGCAUAAGCCCACGGCUCGGCAUCGAGCAGAGGGAAAAGGAGCAAUCCGCUUUGAGAUGGCCUCGCGUCCGAUUAGCUAGUUGGUGAGGUAACGGCCCACCAAGGCGACGAUCGGUAGCCGGACUGGGAGGUUGAACGGCCACAUUGGGACUGAGACACGGUCCAA
rnacentral:rRNA from 1 species